rnacentral:misc_RNA from 1 species
GAAAGGCUAAACGUAAUGUGAAUCGCAACUAACAGUGAAUCAUCGAAUUUUUGAACGCAGGCCGCACCUUUCGGUAUUACUUGUAAUACCGAAAGGUAUCUACGUAUGAGUGUCAGCCAAAUAUCCUUUUGGUUCAUGAGGGAAGUAUGAUAAAUUGUGUUAUACUCAACUCGUGAAUACACACGUGUCUUGCGACAUCACUUUGAAGCUCUGACCGUGUCUGGCCUCAUAUGUGGAAGAUUACCCGCUGGAUUUAA